rnacentral:lncRNA from 1 species
GAGAUGUUUGAUUAUUUGUCAAUAAAUAAUUUAAGUGUUAUCUUAUGUCUAUACUAUUUUAAACAAUAUAUUAUAUAGUUUUUCUCAACCUCUCUGCCUCCUCCUUACUUGUAUCAACAAGUAGCAACCCUUUUUAUUUUUUAAUAGUUUUAAUUUAAAUACUUUUAUAGUAUUAAUUCCAAAGUUUGACACUGCUAGGUGAAUGAAAAUUCAGUAGCCACCAUGUUUCUUCAUCUUUUUUUAACUAAAUAAAUAUAUUUAUGCAGACACUUGCAAUAGUGUCACCAAUAUAUUUGAUUUAAGA